CGCACUGGUGAAGCGAUUCGGCAGUCGGAAAUAAUUCACGAUGAAUACUUUAAGCCGACACAGAUCUCCCCUUGCUUUUCCUUUGAAUAAACCCCAUUGUCGCAUUGCCCUCAAAAAUCAUCACCAGAAAGAAAAGUCGAAACAUCUUCGCAAGCGCAUGAAGAGGCUGCGAUCGGAGAUGGAAGAAAUAAGUCAAGAGCAGGAACAGAUCAAAAAGGGGCAAAGACAAGUGAGGGAAAAUUUGAAGCCUUGGAAAUGGAAUGCGAACUGCUUCGGAGGGAGACUAACAUCAUAAUGCAGAAGAGUAUGAGCACUCAACUCCGCCUUGCUUUCAUGUUCCAGAUUCUGAAAGCAAGAGAAAACCAGGAUUUAGACCAUGCCACCCAACUCACUUCAGCUCUCGGGAGCUGAUAGCCAGAGAGAAUCGGAAUGAAGCAGAUGGCUGAACACUUUUUAUCAAAUGAACAUGAAUAAGAUCUUGUUUCCUAUAACGUGUCUGUGUUUUGUGCCUUGUUUACAGGUGGCGUUUGGUUCAUCGUUUUA